rnacentral:rRNA from 1 species
GACGAACGCUGGCGGCGUGCUUAACACAUGCAAGUCGAACGGAAAGGCCCUGCUUUUGUGGGGUGCUCGAGUGGCGAACGGGUGAGUAACACGUGAGUAACCUGCCCUUGACUUUGGGAUAACUUCAGGAAACUGGGGCUAAUACCGGAUAGGAGCUCCUGCUGCAUGGUGGGGGUUGGAAAGUUUCGGCGGUUGGGGAUGGACUCGCGGCUUAUCAGCUUGUUGGUGGGGUAGUGGCUUACCAAGGCUUUGACGGGUAGCCGGCCUGAGAGGGUGACCGGCCACAUUGGGACUGAGAUACGGCCCAGACUCCUACGGGAGGCAGCAGUGGGGAAUAUGGCACAAUGGGCGGAAGCCUGAGGCAGCAACGCCGCGUGCGGGAUGACGGCCUUCGGGUUGUAAACCGCUUUCGCCUGUGACGAAGCGUGAGUGACGGUAAUGGGUAAAGAAGCACCGGCUAACUACGUG